rnacentral:lncRNA from 1 species
CAGAAAAUGGCCGCGGGAUGGAAGUGCCGCCUCAGACCUUGGGCAGCACAGUCCGUGAGCAGAAGGAAAAGCUGAGGUUGCUGGCAGGCACUGAGCCACGUGGGCCUUGGCCGCGCUUCCCUCAGCCCAUCAAAUUCCACACCCGGGCGCGGGCGCGGGGGACUGGGGCGGCGUUGGAAGAGCAGGAACACAUGGCAGAUAAGGACGUCAAAGCACAGGCAAGAGCGACAAUGGCCAAGGUCACACACAGUUCAUGAGGAGUAGACUCGGUUGGAACCAGGAUCCUCGGCUCCGCAGCAUGAG